rnacentral:rRNA from 1 species
CGCAAGCCUGACGGAGCAACGCCGCGUGUGGGAAGAAGGCUCUUGGGCUGUCAACCACUUUUCUCAGGGAAGAAGCCCUGACGGUACCUGAGGAAUCAGCCUCGGCUAACUCCGUGCCAGCAGCCGCGGUAAUACGGAGGAGGCAAGCGUUAUCCGGAAUUAUUGGGCGUAAAGCGUCCGCAGGGGGCACAUCAAGUCUGCUGUUAAAGGCUGGAGCUUAACUCCGGUAGAGCAGUGGAAACUGGUGUGCUAGAGGGCGACAGGGGUAGAGGGAAUUCCCAGUGUAGCGGUGAAAUGCGUAGAGAUUGGGAAGAACACCGGUGGCGAAAGCGCUCUACUGGGCCGCGACUGACGCUGAGGGACGAAAGCUAGGGGAGCG